rnacentral:rRNA from 1 species
UUUCUUGUGUGACCGCGUACUUUUUGUAGAACGGGCCAACGAGUUACGUUAAGUAGCAAGGUUAAGCACUUAAGGUGUGGAGCCGUAGCGAAAGCGAGUUUUAACUGAGCGUUCAGUUACUUGACGUAGACCCGAAACCGGGCGACCUACCCAUGAGCAGGAUGAAGCGAAAGUAAAAUUUCGUGGAGGUCCGAACCCACGAGCGUUGAAAAGCUCGGGGAUGACUUGUGGGUAGCGGUGAAAUUCCAAUCGAGCCCGGAGAUAGCUGGUUCUCCCCGAAAUAGCUUUAGGGCUAGCCUCAAGGUGAGAGAUACGGAGGUAGAGCACUGAAUGUCCUAGGGGGUAUUGCACCUACCGAAGACUAUCAAACUCCGAAUGCCGUCAUCUUAUACUUGGGAGUCAGACUGUGGGUGAUAAGAUUCAUAGUCGAAAGGGCAACAGCCCAGAUCGUCAGCUAAGGUCCCUAAAUGUAAGUUAAGUGGUAAAGGAUGUGGGAUUGCACAGACAACCAGGAUGUUGGCUUAGAAGCAGCCACUCAUUCAAAGAGUGCGUAAUAGCUCACUGGUCGAGUGAUCCUGCGCCGAAGAUUUCCGGGGCUAAAACUUACUACCGAAGCUACGGCAUCAGUAAUGAUGGGUAGGGGAGCUUCCCAUACGGGUUGAAGCAUGACCGUAAGGACAUGUGGACAGUAUGGGAGUGAGAAUGUUGGCAUGAGUAGCGAGAUGUGGGUGAGAAUCCCACAGGCCGUAAACCCAAGGUUUCCAGGGGAAGGUUCGUCCGCCCUGGGUUAGUCGGGACCUAAGCUGAGGCCGAAAGGCGUAGGUGAUGGACAACAGGUUGAUAUUCCUGUACUACCGAUAACCGUUUGAGAGA